rnacentral:rRNA from 1 species
CGUAGGUGCGAGCGUUAAUCGGAAUUACUGGGCGUAAAGCGUGCGCAGGCGGUUUUGUAAGACAGAUGUGAAAUCCCCGGGCUCAACCUGGGACCUGCAUUUGUGACUGCAAGGCUAGAGUACGGUAGAGGGGGAUGGAAUUCCGCGUGUAGCAGUGAAAUGCAUAGAUAUGCGGAGGAACACCGAUGGCGAAGGCAAUCCCCUGGACCUGUACUGACGCUCAUGCACGAAAGCGUGGGGAGCAAACAGGAUUAGAUACCCUGGUAGUCCACGCCCUAAACGAUGUCAACUGGUUGUUGGGUCUUUACUGACUCAGUAACGAAGCUAACGCGUGAAGUUGACCGCCUGGGGAGUACGGCCGCAAGGUUG